rnacentral:lncRNA from 1 species
GCAUUGAAGGCCAUGGCUUGCAUCUCUCUUCCUCCUCCAGACAGGGUAGUGAUUAAUAUAAUUUCCAGUGGCAGCCUGUGCCCUGAGUUAUCCCAGGGAAGUGCCAUCUCAUACAGCUCUAAACACUGCCAGGGGACGUGGUCUCAGUGGGUGGCUUGAGCCAUUCUCUAGAUUUUGUUUUGUUUACCAGUACAGAAGUAGCCUAAAUAGCUGAAUUGGAUUCCCUUACAUCCUGGGAAGUAAUUUGUUCAGUCGUGUGUAGAAACUUCCACAUUCUACCGUAGGACUGCUCUGGUGAGGUGCAGGAAGUGCUGUUGGAGUUGUGCUGGGGGAGGUGCUUGGCUGUUGCAGUACUGGGUUUCAUAGGUAGAAUUGACUUGAAGACAUUUCCUAAUGUAAUUAAUCUGCAUUUUCUUUAAGAAAAUAGCUUCAUUGAAUAUACUUUUUUGAAACUAGACUUGGUAAAAUUAGAAUUGCUUCAACUUGUGUGAAGGAAUUUGGGGAAAUCUUGGCAAAAGAAAAGAUUUGCAUCUUAAAGCAUUGUAAACUCAUUAAAAUUCUUCUCAUGGAUAAUUAAAGAAAAGUGAAUUAAAAGGAAAGUUUAACAGUAAGCAGCUCACAGGCACUGUGACAUUUCAAGCAUGUUAAUAUCAGAAAGAAGUAGCUUUUGUAGCAGUAGUCUCCUCCUCUCAUAUUACGUGUUGUUUUUUCUAACAAAUAACCAGUUACUGUUGGUUUCUUUGGUUCUCCAAGCAGCUCAUUUAUGCCUGAUCUGCACAGUGCUUUGGCAUACUUGUGACCAGCUUUGCAGGGUUUGCCAGCAUGCCUAACAGUGGAGAGGCUCUCAGGAAACAAUUACAGGAUGAAAAUGCAAGGAAUGUUUCAGGAAGCUGUGAAAAUGGAACCUUUACAGAUGCACAGCCUGUCUGCAGGGAUCUGCUGCCUCAUUCAGAGGAGACCCAGGGUGAAGGCAUAGAGCCAACAGGUAAGCAUGUAAAAGAUGGUCCUUGGAAAUUUGAGCUCUUCUCAGAUUUUUUUUCAAUGUAAUUUUUAUGUCUAUUCUAGCAGGUCUUGACUGACAAUUUC